GCGAUACAGGGUGACAGCCCCGUACACAAAAAUGCACAUGCUGUGAGCUCGAUGAGUAGGGCGGGACACGUGGUAUCCUGUCUGAAUAUGGGGGGACCAUCCUCCAAGGCUAAAUACUCCUGACUGACCGAUAGUGAACCAGUACCGUGAGGGAAAGGCGAAAAGAACCCCGGCGAGGGGAGUGAAAAAGAACCUGAAACCGUGUACGUACAAGCAGUGGGAGCCUCUUAAUGGGGUGACUGCGUACCUUUUGUAUAAUGGGUCAGCGACUUAUAUUCUGUAGCAAGGUUAACCGAAUAGGGGAGCCGAAGGGAAACCGAGUCUUAACUGGGCGUUAAGUUGCAGGGUAUAGACCCGAAACCCGGUGAUCUAGCCAUGGGCAGGUUGAAGGUUGGGUAACACUAACUGGAGGACCGAACCGACUAAUGUUGAAAAAUUAGCGGAUGACUUGUGGCUGGGGGUGAAAGGCCAAUCAAACCGGGAGAUAGCUGGUUCUCCCCGAAAGCUAUUUAGGUAGCGCCUCGUGAAUUCAUCUCCGGGGGUAGAGCACUGUUUCGGCAAGGGGGUCAUCCCGACUUACCAACCCGAUGCAAACUGCGAAUACCGGAGAAUGUUAUCACGGGAGACACACGGCGGGUGCUAACGUCCGUCGUGAAGAGGGAAACAACCCAGACCGCCAGCUAAGGUCCCAAAGUCAUGGUUAAGUGGGAAACGAUGUGGGAAGGCCCAGACAGCCAGGAUGUUGGCUUAGAAGCAGCCAUCAUUUAAAGAAAGCGUAAUAGCUCACUGGUCGAGUCGGCCUGCGCGGAAGAUGUAACGGGGCUAAACCAUG
rnacentral:rRNA from 1 species